rnacentral:rRNA from 1 species
UACGUAGGGUGCGAGCGUUGUCCGGAAUUAUUGGGCGUAAAGAGCUCGUAGGCGGUCUGUCGCGUCGAUCGUGAAAACUUGGGGCUUAACCCUGAGCUUGCGGUCGAUACGGGCAUGACUGGAGUUCGGCAGGGGAGACUGGAAUUCCUGGUGUAGCGGUGAAAUGCGCAGAUAUCAGGAGGAACACCGGUGGCGAAGGCGGCUCUCGCGCCAAUACUGACGCUGAGGCACGAAAGCUGGGGAGCAAACGGG